rnacentral:rRNA from 1 species
GUUAGCGGCGGACGGGUGAGUAACACGUGGGCAACCUACCUUAUAGUUUGGGAUAACUCCGGGAAACCGGGGCUAAUACCGAAUAAUCUAUUUUACUUCAUGGUGAAAUACUGAAAGACGGUUUCGGCUGUCGCUAUAAGAUGGGCCCGCGGCGCAUUAGCUAGUUGGUGAGGUAACGGCUCACCAAGGCGACGAUGCGUAGCCGACCUGAGAGGGUGAUCGGCCACACUGGGACUGAGACACGGCCCAGACUCCUACGGGAGGCAGCAGUAGGGAAUCUUCCACAAUGGGCGAAAGCCUGAUGGAGCAACGCCGCGUGAGUGAAGAAGGUUUUCGGAUCGUAAAACUCUGUUGUAAGGGAAGAACAAGUACAGUAGUAACUGGCUGUACCUUGACGGUACCUUAUUAGAAAGCCACGGCUAACUACGUGCCAGCAGCCGCGGUAAUACGUAGGUGGCAAGCGUUGUCCGGAAUUAUUGGGCGUAAAGCGCGCGCAGGCGGUCCUUUAAGUCUGAUGUGAAAGCCCACGGCUCAACCGUGGAGGGUCAUUGGAAACUGGGGGACUUGAGUGCAGAAGAGGAAAGUGGAAUUCCAAGUGUAGCGGUGAAAUGCGUAGAGAUUUGGAGGAACACCAGU